UCAAGCUACUAAGGGCGCAUGGUGGAUGCCUUGGCAUCGGGAGGCGAUGAAGGACGUGGUAAGCUGCGAUAAGCUUCGGUAAGCCGCUAAACAGGCUUUGACCCGGAGAUUUCCGAAUGGGGAAACCCGGCGGGGUUCAUACCCCGUCAUCUUACACUGAAUACAUAGGUGUAUGAGGCGAACGCAGGGAACUGAAACAUCUAAGUACCUGUAGGAGAAGAAAUCAAUUGAGAUUCUGCUAGUAGCGGCGAGCGAACGCGGAUUAGCCCAAACCAGAACUACUACGGUGGUUCUGGGGUUGUGGGGCCCCAACGUGGGAUUGGUGAUCGGUAAUAGAAGGCUCUGGAAAGUGCCGCCAUAGAGGGUGAUAGCCCCGUAUGUGAAACCGAGAUCCACCCUAGGGUAACCCCGAGUACCACGGGACACGAGAAAUCCUGUGGGAAGCUGGGAGGACCAUCUUCCAAGGCUAAAUACUCCCCGAUGACCGAUAGUGCAUAGUACCGUGAGGGAAAGGUGAAAAGAACUCCGAUGAGGAGAGUGAAAUAGACCCUGAAACCGUAUGCCUACAAGCAGUGGGAGCCCUAUGACUUCGGUCAGGGUGACCGCGUGCCUUUUGCAUAAUGAGUCAGCGAGUUACGCUCAGCAGCGAGGUUAAGCCGUUAGAGGUGUAGCCGUAGCGAAAGCGAGUCUGAAUAGGGCGAAUUAGUUGCUGGGAGUAGACCCGAAACCGGGUGAUCUAUCCAUGGGCAGGUUGAAGCGACGGUAACACGUCGUGGAGGACCGAACCCACUUAGGUUGAAAACUGAGGGGAUGACCUGUGGAUAGGAGUGAAAGGCUAAUCAAACUCGGAGAUAGCUGGUUCUCCCCGAAAUAUAUUUAGGUAUAGCCUCGUACGAAUCGUACCGGAGGUAGAGCACUGAAUGGGCUAGGGUCCUCACCAGGAUACCAAACCUAAUCAAACUCCGAAUGCCGGUAACGUCUAUACGGGAGUCAGUCUGCGGGUGAUAAGGUCCGUAGUCGAAAGGGAAACAACCCAGAUCGCCAGCUAAGGUCCCUAAAUUUGUGCUAAGUGGGAAAGGUUGUGGGAAUGCAUAAACAACCAGGAGGUUGGCUUAGAAGCAGCCACCCUUUAAAGAAAGCGUAAUAGCUCACUGGUCGAGUGGGCCUGCGCCGAAAAUGUAACGGGGCUCAAGCACAAUACCGAAGCUGCGGAUUUAACUGUAUGGUUAAGUGGUAGGGGAGCAUUGUAGCAACCGCUGAAGGUGUACCGUAAGGAGCGCUGGAGGAACUACAAGAGCUUAUGCUGACAUGAGUAGCGAAAAUGUGGGUGAGAAACCCACACACCGUAAGCCCGAGGUUUCCUUUGUUAAGGUAAUCUGCGAAGGGUUAGUCGGCCCCUAAGGCGAGGGCGAAAGCCGUAGUCGAUGGGAAACAGGUUAAUAUUCCUGUACCUCUUUUAACUGCGAUGGGGGGACGGAGAAGGGUAGACCAUCCGGGUGUUGGAUGUCCCGGUUUAAGCGAGUAGGCGGGGAAGGCAGGCAAAUCCACUUUCCUAUGAAACGCCAAGACGUGAUGACGAGAGCUUUAAGCUCAUAAAGUGGUUAAUCCCAUGCUUCCAAGAAAAGCCUCUAAGCUUCAGGUUAUAAGAGACCGUACCGAAAACCGACUCAGGUGGGCGGGCAGAAAAUGCCAAGGUGAUUGAGAUAACUCUGGUUAAGGAACUCGGCAAAAUAACACCGUAACUUCGGGAGAAGGUGUGCCUCCAUUAGGUGAUACGACUUGCUCGUGGAGCCGAAGGGGGUCGCAGAGAAAUGGCGGUAGCGACUGUUUACUAAAAACACAGCACUCUGCAAACUCGUAAGAGGAAGUAUAGGGUGUGACGCCUGCCCGGUGCUGGAAGGUUAAGGGGAUGUGUUAGCGCAAGCGAAGCAUUGAACCGAAGCCCCAGUAAACGGCGGCCGUAACUAUAACGGUCCUAAGGUAGCGAAAUUCCUUGUCGGGUAAGUUCCGACCUGCACGAAUGGCGU
rnacentral:rRNA from 1 species